GGGCCUGUAGCUCAGGGGUAGAGCGUGUGCUUUGCAUUGAUGAGACUAUUCUCUUCGAUCGACAGCGAGUAUGUACAAGGUCUAGGGUUCAAAUCCCUACCGGUCCA